CGCUGGCAUCGCUGAAGGGAUUUCCGUCAACAACAGAUCAAUUUGAUCAAAACAUCAAUGACAGGAAACUGGUUUUUCGUGAUCUUUUAAGCUCGUUGUGUGUGAAAUAUAUCUAGCUAAAGCUGAUUUCAGUAUUCACAUCUGUUCAAACGAGUCUGACACUGCAGGAUGAACGCUCAGGGGGUGCGCAGGGGCUUCAGCGUCCAGCAGUCUGACCUGAUGUGUAAGAGAGGAUGCGGUUUCUACGGCAACGCCGUCUGGCAGGGCCUCUGCUCCAAAUGCUGGCGUCAGGAGAACCAGUGCACCUGAGCCAAGCAGAUCGAGGCCGACAGAGCGCUGGCCGAGAGGCUCCAGAGAGAGGAGGAAGCAGCGUCUGCCAGCAGCCGUGAGGAGGCGCGUUCACGACCAGAAUCCUCCAGAACACACAGCGUGCCCAUAGUGAAGAGGCUUUUCACCUCCGCUCCCAAAACACCUGCAA